GUCUCUUGGCAGCCAAUGCGACCCCUUGGGCAUGAUUUCCUGCUGAUGAGCAAAUAACCCCUCUUUCUAACUGUCCCUUCGGAAGCUUUGCCAUCAUAUUAUAAGCUCCACGAAGCUUAAAAGAGAAAACCUGAAAAUAUGAAACAUCAAAUCUGUAAGCACUUUAUCUGAAUAUGAAAAACAAUAUUGAACUACAAAAAGAAAAGAUUUCCGCUUUGGCAAUUCAUUAACAGAUUAUAAAAACAAAGACUAAAUUCAACUAAAAAAACAUGUGAAUAUUUACUCAUAACAUCAAUGCAUCUCAGAGCACAUAAAUAAAAAACAAAUAGGGUUUAAUCCAAGCUAAAAAAAAACCAGUCCGUUAAGCUUAAAAUAAGUAAAGCAAAAUCAUAGAAUAUAAACAGUAUUAACUCCCAACACCUCACCAAUCAUAGAAACAAAUAUCAUUAGAAAUGAAAACCCAAAAACCUAAAAGAAAAAAAAAAUAACAAGAAGAUAUUUCGCCAAAUACAAAUUAAAAACCAAAAACUAGAACCUCAAUGGUUGCAAUUUUUAAAUGGAAAAAAGAACCCAAAUCAUGAAAUAAUCCCCCGAAAAAAAAAUCAAUCUUUCAAAAAAAUGAAAACUUUUCUUACAGGCUGUAAAUCUUCUCUCUUAAGCCAAACUUGAUUACCCAAUCGUUCAGACAACUUAGUCGCCAACUGUAACGGUGACUCUAUCGCCACAUCAUAAACCUUCGACGACAAAAUAUUCGUUAAAUACUCCAUCGCAUUUACUACGUCGCCGUUUCCUUCAUCCAUUGAACGUUCCGGUACCGCGCCUAAGUAACCUGACGGAUACCGCAGGGAAUUAGCAGACACCUUCUUCGGCGGCGCAGAAGGAACCACAGCAGAAGUUGACGACGACGAAACGAAGCGUUAUCGAGAGAAGUAACGGUCGGAGAAGAGAUAUCAGCCAUCGGUUUCGACACAGCGGCUCUGAUCCACGGGCGGAUACAUUUCUUUGUAAUGUGGCGCGCAGUAAAUGAUGUAGUUGGGACCCUCUCUUUGUGGCGGAGUAGCGGCGGAUGAGGUGGCGUGAGGCGAAGAGCCUCCAUUGGUUUUAAAUUUUUGAAAAUUUAAAGAAAAAAAAUAGAAAAACCAAAGAGAAAACGUGGUGGUGAAAAGAAAAUACGCUUUCUAACUCUAAGACGUCGGGCGGCUUUUGGAGGGGACCUUAUAGUUUAUAAAGACAAAGGAGGGAGGGUAAAUGGUUUUUCAUUUGGCGCAAUUUUUGGAGUGAACAAAUGGAGGCUAUGAAAGAUUGACACCUGGUGAAAAUGACGUAAGCAUGUCACUGUACCUGACGGGUUUCGUGCACUGCGGGUGACGGAUGGUAAGUGUUCUAUUUUAAAAUGCACAAGGAAGGAGUGUGCUCCGUUGACUCGAAACUCAACACCGUGAGACAACAGACCAGACACGCUGUGUGGAAAGAAAGAUGGAGCGAGUUUCAUUCAAUUUCAAGUAAGUUUUCGGUUGGAAUUUCCUUUUUAUUUUUUAUUUUAAGAGAAGAAAAUUCACACCCUUCCAAUAGGUAUUGUUGAGUCUCAAAUGUGAAAUUUUCAUAUUUGUUAGGAUGCAUUUCAAUGUAAAAAAGAAAAAAGAAAAAAAAGCUAACAAAUAUAUUUUUAAUUUCAUGAUAUAAAAAAUGAAACUCUUUAUCUGUAAUUAUAUAAUCAUAAUUUAAAUUUAUUUAAAAUUUAUUGCUUAUAAAUAUAGCAGUGAGGAUUUUACGUAAUAUUUUAUGAUUAAUUAAUUUUAUGACAUUAAUUUCGUAUAAUAUUCUAAAAAAAGAAAAAAACAUUGUUUCAAGGUGACAAUCAAUGUCAUGAAAUACAAUGUUAAAGAUGAAUUUUUGUUAUUUGUCUUGGGUUAUUUAUGUUGGCUUAUUAGAAUUAUUGAUUGUUAUGUCAUGCGAAAAUGACUACAAAGUUAGGCCAAAUUAACAAAGAUUAUCGUCAAAGCUUAAUUAUAUAAAAUUAAGGCCAAACAAAGAUUAGCUCAAUCUAUGCCUAAGAUUAAAAAUCUUUCAUCAGUGGCUGAGAAAAUAUGAAACAUUACUCGAACACUACUAAAUCAUCAUCUUAAUCAAGAGAGGACAUUCUAAAAUCUUUACUAUAAAAUUAGGCCAACGAGUAUUGUCAAAUCUUAAUUAUAUAAAAUUAAGACCAAACAAAGAUUAGCUCAAUCUAUGCCUAAACUUAAAAAUCUAUAAAAUUUCAUUAGUGGCUAAGAAAUUACGAACGUUCCUCGAACACUAAUAAAUCGUCAUCUUAAUUUGAAAAAUGACAUACUAAAAUCUUUACUACAAAGUUAGGCCAAAUUAAGAAAGAUUAUCGUCAAAGCUUAAUUAUAUAAAAUUAAGGCUAAACAAUGAUUAGCUCAAUCCCUACCUAAGCCUAAAAUAUCUAGAAAUUUUCUUUAGUGGCUAAAACUUUAUAAAUGUUACUCGAAUACUACUAAAUCAUCGUCCUAAGCUAAAAAGGGACACUCUAAAAUUCUUAAAUUUAGGUGAAUUUCGUUUAAUGUUUUGUUAAUUUAUUACUUUUUUAUAAUACAAUAAUACUUAUAUCAUAUCCGUUGAAUAAUGCUCAUUAAAUUGUAUAAUUUGUAUUCCUAUAACUAAUGUUGUAAAAAAGUAAACAUUGUUUGUCAUUAAUUAAUACUAAUUAUGCUGUGGACUAAUGCUUGACUUCAUCUCCUUAGAUACGGUGUUGUGAAUUUAAGUCAUUUUAAAUUAGGGAAUGGUCACGUGGGUUUAAGUCAUUUUAAAUUAGGGAAAUAAAAGGAAGGUGGAUAAGUACGUGCAUGUGAGUUAAAGUCAUCAGUUUUGUACAAAAAAUAUUGUAAAAAUUCUUACUUGACACAAAAGAGGUGGCCAUAUGCUAAAAAAGUAAUUAAGGAUAUAAAUAGGAGUAUAAUCGAUUAAAUUGGAAUUGAUAUAGUAUUAAAUUUAAGUUUAAAUUUGACUUUAAAUUUGAGAUUUAAAAUUCGGUUCAAAUUUAAUUAAAUUUUAUUUUUUUAAUUAAAGUUCAAUUCGAAAUAAAAAUUAAGUCAUUCCAGCUCGCUUGAUUAACAUGUAAAAAUAAAUUUUAUUUUUAUAUUUGAUAAAAGUUCGAUUAUUUAUGUUCAAACUAAAACUCGAAUUCGAGAUAUUUUAUUAAUUAAAAUAAUUAUAAUAUAUUAUAAUAUAAAAACUCAAUUAAACUUUUAAGUAAUUCGAAUCGAAUAUAAAAAUGUUUGAAUUCGAUUUAAUCGAUAAAUUAAAUUAUUCGAAUUUAAGUUUGAUUCAAUAAUAAUCGAAUUAAAUUUAAAUUUUAUUUUAAUUGAAUCUAAGUAACUUACAAGUACUAAUAUAUUAUUUAUACUCUUAAAUAUAAAUACAGGUCUUAUUAAAAAGUUUUAAGUUAGAAAAUUGACGGUGGAUUCUCCUAGUCAUAACCAAAAUAAUGAUGUUUCAUGUUGGAAUUUGAAAUUCCCUUUUCAUAUAUACAUCAUUUAAUAAAUGCUUUGGCCACUUACUCAUAUGCUUUUUCCUAUCUAAAUAAAAAUAAUAUUUUAUUAAAAUUUAAAAUUACAUUAUUAUAUAAAAAGUUAUCUCCUUUGCAGAUAAUAAAGUUUUUAAAUUCUAAAAAUAUGAAGAUCACACACACAUAUAUAUAUAUAUAUUAAAAAUAUAUAUAUGAUAAUUUUUAAUCUUAUUUAUAAAAUAAAAAAAUUAUACUGUUAGCGUACUCUUAUUUUAUUAUUGAGUACAUAUAUAACAAAUUAAUCAACCAUACACCAAAAGUUGGUAGACCUAAUUAUCAACCAACGAAUGUUUUCACAUAAUUACAUAAUUAAAGUUUCAGUAUAACCCUUAGCUUUUUUUUUUUAAUUUUCUAGGAUAAUAUUUUUAUAGCACCUGGCAGAAUAUAAUGUCAUUGUCUUUGAAUAAUUUUUAAAAAUAAAAAAUUGAAUGAACCCAAUACCUAAAUAUAUAACUAUAUGUGUACGUAUCGGACUGACAAUCAUGUGUAAAAUAAAUAAAUAAAUAAAUAAAAUAAAUAGAAGACGAGAUUCAAUUAAAGAGGACAAGAAAACCUAAAUAAAAGAAAGACUGGAUUGAUGCUGCCUUUCUUUCAACCCAACAUCUUGAUGUGGAAAAAAAUUUUAAAAAGUAAAAAAAUGUUAAAAACUUGGUUGUUACAUAAAUUUUUCAUAUAUAUAUUUUUGUGUUUCACAUGCUAUUUAAAAAUUAUUUAUUUUUUAAAAAAAUCAGUCCAAAGAAAAUUAGUUCAUCUCACUGGAGUUUGGACUUUUGGGGUCUCAAAAAGAGUUGUUGGCGUUAGAUAGUUUUGUUCAUUUAUUUAAUGUGCCAAGACUCUUGAUUAAAACAAAAAAAUAAAUAAUUUAUUGUCUAAUUCUAUUGAAAUGUUUUAUUAUAAAAAUUUAAAUGAAAGCAAGUUAUUUCAUUUCAAAUCAAAGCAUAUUAUAAAUUUUAAAGAAAAUUUACAUUAAUUUUAUUAAUCAUUCAUAAAAAAUCGUUUGCAAUAAAAAGUUAAAAAUCAAAUAUAAAUCUUAUGAACAAAACAUUCCGUUUUUAUCUAUUUAACCAACAUCCUUUAAACUAAUUUUAUUAAAUUGUUAUUAAAGAUUUUAUAUACGCUGCAUGCAUUAGGUAUAGGAAAAGGACCAGUAGAACAUUUAUAAAAAAGAAACUUGUUAAAGAUGCUUUUUUUUUUGUACAAAUUAUAUACUAGAUUAAAUUGUUUUUAGAGAAGUUAUUAAUUAUAUUAACAGUUGAAAUUUUUAAGUUUAUAAGUGAAUUUAAGAUAAUGAUAUAUAUUUUUUAAUGUAUAUUUAAAACAUUAAAAAAUUUUAAUUAAAAAAAAUAUGUAUUAUUAUUUUAAUUUCAUUUAUAAAAUUAAAAAAUUUUAUGUUAAUAUAUCAAAUAAAUAUAUCAAAUAAAUGGUUAGAGGGUUGUGAGAAUGUAAUUUUUUAUGAAUAUUUUAGAUUCAGUAUAAAUAAAUUUUAAGAUAAAUGAAUAACUUGGAUAAAUUAAUAAAAUUAAUUUAUAUAAAAUCUUGGGGUUGAAAUUUUGGUAUGGUGAUAAAUAAUGGGAAAAAAAAAAGAAAAAAAGAAACAAAUUUAGUUUCUUUUUUUUUUAAAUAAAAACUCGUUUAAGGAAAUGAUAAGUAUAAAAAAAUAAAUAAAUAAUGGGAUAAAAGGUUCCAGAUGGUCCAUUGGACCCUUAAAGCUCCAGCCCUAAGCUGGUGUGUUAUUUAGUUUCUUUUUUUUUUUUUAAUAAAAACUCGUUUAAGGGAAUGAUAAGUAUAAAAAAAUAAAUAAAUAAUGGGAUAAAAGGUUCCAGAUGAUCCAUUGGACCCUUAAAGCUCCAGCCCUUAGCUGGUGUGUUAGUGUGGUCCACAGACCCAAACACAACACAACUGAUGUUACCCAAACAUUAGUAAUGGUGAGAUUGGUCAAAAAACGUGGCCUAAAAUCACCGUACCGGGUCCAAUCAAAACCAAAUGAGGCCUAAAUGUUCUAGCUAUAUUUGAUAACUGCUUGUCUUUUGGGUUUUAAGGAAAAGAUUUUUGACCAAUGUGUUUAAAUAUAAUUUUACUUUAAUAAAAUCUUGUAUAUGAUUUUUUAAAUUCAAAAUUAAUUUGACAUGACUAAAAUUAUUAUUAUAUUAAUAAAUAAUAUAUUUAUUUAAUUUUAUUUAAAAAAUUAAAAUAUUAAUAUUAAAAGUUUUUUAAUAUUUUUAUAAUUCUAUUCAAAUAAGAUUUUGAACAUGAUAGCUUAAGUUUGAGUUUGAUUUGAUUCAACUUGAAAUAUCAUUAUAUUAAUAAAAAUAUUUUAUUUAAGUUUAAUUAAAAAGUUAAUAUAUUAACAUUAAAAGUCUUUUGAUAUUUUGAUUUUAAAUAUUUUUUGUAUAUUAUUAAAUAUAAAUAUUUUUAAUAUUUCAAUAAUAAACAAUAUUCUAUUAUUAUAUUAAUAAUAAACAAUAACAUAUUUAACAAUAUUUUUAUUAUUCUAAUAAUUAAUAUUAAAUAAUAUAAUAAUAUUAUUUUAGUAAUAUGAAUAUUUUUAGUAAUUUCUUAAUUUUUUAGUUUAAAAUAUAUUAUUUAUAUUUUAUUUAUUAAGGUAUUUUAUUACUAUUUUAACAAUAAAUAUAAAAAAGAAUUGUUUUUGUUAAGAUUUAAUAAUAAAUACUUUUAAAAUAAAAAAUAAAUAUUUUAAUACUAUAAAUAUUUUGAUAUUUUAAAAAUAAAUAUUACUAUUUUAAUAUUAUAAUAAUUAUAAAAAUAAUAUUUUAAGAAUAGUAAUAUUAUUUUAAAUAUUUUAAUUUGUUAAUAUAAAGAAUAAUAAAUAGUUUUGUUUUAUGUGUUUUUUAUAUUAGUAUAAUAUUUUAAUUUUAAAUAUUAAUAAAAUAUAAUUAUUUUUAAUAUUAAUAAUUUUAAUAGUAAAUAAUUUCAAAAUACUUUAAUAAUAAAUAAUUCUAAUAUUUAUGUCAAUAUUAUUAUUUUUUAAAUAAAAUUUUAAAAAAAUCAGAUAACAAAAAAUAUUUUCAUUGACUCAUGACUCAUCCAAAUAAUAGAUAAUAUCACUUUUUCCAAAAAUAUAAACAUUUUCUAUAAAAUAUUUUUUGAAAGUUAAUUUCCGUAAAACAAGCGAACCUUUUUGUUUAUUUUGGCAAUAAAAAAUAAAACAAACAAAAAGAAUGAAUAUACAAAACUAAAAACAAAAUAAUAAAAGUAAAAGCGUUUAUUAAAUGAGCUUAAAUGUUGAUAAACUUGUUUUUUAUCACCUAGUUUGUACCAUUUAUGAGUAGUCCAUUAACUAGGUUUGACAAUUUGUAUUCUUAUAUUGUGUUUAUGUCAUAUUGAGAAGUGUAAUUAUACGAAUUAUUGAAAUACAAAUAUAGCAUGAAUUAUAAAAUAUAUUUAAAUUUUGAAUACAACACGUUUAUUAUAUGUAUUACAUGCGAUACGAUAUAAUUAACAUAUAUAUAAUUAAUUUAUUUACACAUGAUAUGAACAAAUAUGAAUAAUACGGAUAUACACGAAUAGAUACGACUAAUAUAUAUAUAUAUACGAAUAAACACGACUAAUAUUAAUAUAUAUAAAAAUAUGACUAAAAUAAUAAAUAAUUAUAAAUUAUCAAUCAAUUACAACUUAAUAAAUUUGAUAUACGACUUGCAUAUUAAAAAUAAUAAAAAAAUUAAAUACCCAUUUAAUAUGUACUUAAUAUAUAUAUUUAAAUUUUAAUAUAUAUUACAUAACUAUAAUAAUUUUUAGUAUUAAAUUCAAAAUGAUAAAUUAUUGAAGAUUAAAAAAUAAAAUAAUGAUGUAUAAGACUAGUAUUAAUAUUUAUAUUUUAUUUAUAUUAUUAAUAUAAAAAUAAUUUUAUAAUAAUUAUUAAAUGAGUAUCAUAAUUCAAUGUUUAAAAUAAUCUUUAUAUGCUAUUGAAAAACUAAUUAAGUAUCGUAAUUAAAAAAUUAAAAAUUAAAAUAACUUUUAUAUGUUUAUAUUAAAUUAAAGUACAUAUAAAAAUAUUUUAAAUGCAGACUCAUAGGACAAAAAUAAAUUAAAUAUAUUUUUUGUGUCAGAAUACAUGUUAACAUGUAUCCGUAUGAUACAUUUUAUCUAAACGUGUCUUACAUAUAUUUAGAUUUAUUAAUAAAUAUUUAAACGUACCAAUACAUAUACUGUAUAAAUUAUAUCAUAUGAAAAUUUAUAUCAAUACAAAUAAAUAUAAAACAUAUUUUUUUAAAAUAUGUAUAUAUUAUUUUUUAUAUUAAUUUUAUAUCAUAUCAUCAUAUUAUAUAUGAAAUUAUCAGAUCUAUCAAUAUCCGAAAUGUCUUGCAAAAUUUAUGAUUUCAUAUUUUUGGAACAGUAUACAGCAAGCAUAGUAUCAGAGUAACCUCCAUAUGUAGUAGUUCCAACAAAAGUGCUUUGCCACUAAUUUUCAAGAUUCUUAGUGCAGUCACCGCAGGAGUGACAUGACUCAACCAUGCAACUUUAUCUUCAAUUUUGAUUUUUUUAACUUAUAGAAUAAAACCAGCAAAAUUAUAAUAUUCAAAAUUUAAAUUUAUUAAAUAUUAUUUUCUUAUAAAUAAUUAUAUAACUAAAAUUAAAUAUCACCUCUGUCACUGAACCAACAAUCUCAUGAGAUUGUUGAGAGUUGUUUAUAAUCUAUUAACCUACGCUUAAUUUAAUAAAUAGUGCGUGGACACUUGGACAAGCAACGUUGAUUUUAUACUGCAGGCUCCCAGGCUCCUCUGGCAAAACAGUUGCAAGCACUGCCUCCUGUUGUCUACCCACAUUAGCCAGUUCGGUAACCACUCUAAGCUUAUCAAAAUUCAUGUUUGCACCGCUAGUUAUUGCUACAACAUUCUUUCCCUUAAGGCUGUAAUAUUUGCAAUAUGCUUCAGCUCCCGCAAGGGCUAGGGCACCUGCUGGUUCCAGAAUGCUCCUCUUCUCUUCAAACAUGUCCUGCAACACAAGCAGUACAGCUGUAAAUCCUAAGCAUUCAAACAACCAUGUGUUAAUUAGAUGAAGGCCAUCAGUUAUCCAACAAAAACCAAUAGCACUAGUCAUACUGGAGAGACAACAUUAGACACGAGGAGAGAGAAAAAAUCAUAAGAAGGGCUUCUAACAUCCAUAAGGUUAAGAAUAAAUAAUUAGAGAACAAAUGGUGAUGGGGACAGGCCACACUCUUUCCCGAAAUGGGAAAUAGAACACCAUAAAACUGCAUAAAAAUUCAAGUUAAACACCCAAUUUGUGAGCAAAACUAACCAGAAGUGAACUACCUUCAUAUGAAGAACCAAAGGCACAUUCCAAUUCCUAAAAUACUACAUCUAGAAUCCAAGUUAAAUCAAAGGUACAAUAUAUUUGAACUAGAAAUUUGACACUUUGUUUCAAAUUACAAUUUUAGGUAUUUCAAGCCAGCAUUUCAGUUGUUUGCUCAAUUCACAACUGUAUCAUACAAGGACAGAAACGAAUAACUAAAAUAAAGAUUGACAACCUUAAGCUGUAUGUUAAGAGGCACAAAUGGCUCAAUGCAAAGAAGCCAUACCUUUAUAGAGGCACAAAUAGCAUCAUGGUUUACAAGAACGACACCAUCCACCAAUUUCCUACAUAAGCGAAAGGUUUCUUCACCGACUUCCUUAACAGCUACUCCAUCUGCAAAGCCCCCAACCUGGUCCAACAUCACUCUUUCGCCAUGAUGAAGCGACAAUGCCAUUGCAUUUGCAUCAAAAGGCUCCACUCCAAUAAUCUUCACCUGUAUAGUAAUACAACACUAAGUGAUGUGGAUGAAUUACGUCAUGCAGCAAGGAACAAGCACAUUCAAUGUAAUUUCAAACAAGAUAUAGUAUAUGUUUAUAUGAAGGACCCACAUACCCUCGGGGAAACCCUCUUAACAUAAGCAGCAAUGCCAGCUACAAGCCCACCACCACCAAUAGGUACAAAGAUUGCAUGCAAUGGGCCUUGCAUUUGGCGCACAAUCUCCAUCCCAACAGUGCCUUGUCCCAUGAUAACAUCUGGAUGGUCAAAAGGGGGAAUAAAUGUUCGACCUUCCUCUUUAGCCCGUUUUUUAGCAUAUGCUUGUGCCUCAUUAUAAGAAUCUCCAACGAGAACAACAGUUGCGCCCAACCUCUCAACAGAAUGCCACUGCAAAACAAGAAACCAAACAUUCAAAUUAAGAAACCUUAUGUGCUAUGCAAUUGAUACAAAAAACAUCACAAAAUAGCACCUUAAUUUCUGGUGUGGUAACGGGCAUAGCAAUAACAGCAUUGCAACCGAGUCUCUUGGCAGCCAAUGCGACCCCUUGGGCAUGAUUUCCUGCUGAUGAGCAAAUAACCCCUCUUUCUAACUGUCCCUUCGGAAGCUUUGCCAUCAUAUUAUAAGCUCCACGAAGCUUAAAAGAGAAAACCUGAAAAUAUGAAACAUCAAAUCUGUAAGCACUUUAUCUGAAUAUGAAAAACAAUAUUGAACUACAAAAAGAAAAGAUUUCCGCUUUGGCAAUUCAUUAACAGAUUAUAAAAACAAAGACUAAAUUCAACUAAAAAAACAUGUGAAUAUUUACUCAUAACAUCAAUGCAUCUCAGAGCACAAAAAUAAAAAACAAAUAGGGUUUAAUCCAAGCUAAAAAAAAACCAGUCCGUUAAGCUUAAAAUAAGUAAAGCAAAAUCAUAGAAUAUAAACAGUAUUAACUCCCAACACCUCACCAAUCAUAGAAACAAAUAUCAUUAGAAAUGAAAACCCAAAAACCUAAAAGAAAAAAAAAAAUAACAAGAAGAUAUUUCGCAAAAUACAAAUUAAAAACCAAAACUAGAACCUCAAUGGUUGCAAAUUUUAAAUGGAAAAAAGAACCAAAUCAUGAAAUAAUCCCCCGAAAAAAAAAUCAAUGCUUUCAAAAAAAUGAAAACUUUUCUUACAGGCUGUAAAUCUUCUCUCUUAAGCCAAACUUGAUUACCCCAAUCGUUCAGACAACUUAGUCGCCAACUGUAACGGUGACUCUAUCGCCACAUCAUAAACCUUCGACGACAAAAUAUUCGUUAAAUACUCCAUCGCAUUUACUAACCUCGCCGUUCCCUUCAUCCAUUGAACGUUCCGGGUACCAGGCGCCUAAGUAACCUGACGGAUACCGCAGGGAAUUAGCAGACACCUUCUUCGGCGGCGCAGAAGGAACCACAGCAGAAGUUGACGACGACGAAACGAAAGCGUUAUCGAGAGAAGUAACGGUCGGAGAAGAGAUAUCAGCCAUCGGUUUCGACACAGCGGCUCUGAUCCACGGGCGGAUACAAUUCUUUGUAAUGUGGCGCGCAGUAAAUGAUGUAGUUGGGACCCUCUCUUUGUGGCGGAGUAGCGGCGGAUGAGGUGGCGUGAGGCGAAGAGCCUCCAUUGGUUUUAAAUUUUUGAAAAUUUAAAGAAAAAAAAUAGAAA
rnacentral:lncRNA from 1 species